UUCCAACUGUGCUCUGCUGGGCUCUAGGCGUCCCCAGGGUCCAUCAGGAGCUGGGACAGGAGAAAGAAGGAGAGGAAUUAAGAAGAUGGGCCCCAGACUCCUCUUCAUCAGGGACUUCCACAGGGAUUUCACUUUAACAAAGAUUUCCAGUUGGUGUUGUUUGCUUCUAUCUCUUCCUUUCAAAGCAGGUGCUCCUGAUUGUGUUGAGCAGAGGAAACUGAUGAGUCUGUAGCGUCCAUUUGAUUCUGCAAAGGAUCUGCAUGUGACUGAAGAAAAUCCCACAGCCCAUGCUGGCCAGUCCCAACUGAAAUUCAUGACUAAAUCCUGAAGUGGACCCUGAUCCUGAGAGGCAACGACGCUGCGCGUUCUCAGUCUGUCUGUCUCCUGAGCCAGAGACUGUGUCUGACUCCUAGCUAUGCAGCUGUUUGAACUUGUUGGUAACGCGUAUGUAACAGUAACUGUAUAAAUGGUAAUUUUCAUUAGUAAUAAGAACUCCGGAGUACGCACAUUAUAUUAGUUUGAGCUCAUUUCUUAGGCUGUCCCAGUGACCACAGCUACCUGUUGCAGCAGUGUGUGACCAACAUUCCCGCACCACCUGCCAAUUCAACCCCUGACAGAAGAAGAAGUGUGGUUGUGUGGGCCUUACUGUUUUUGAAAACUUUUUAGUAAUGGAAAAUUUCAAAUAUAUUCAGAAGAGAAAGUAAUUAGCCCCAGCUUUAAUAACCACUAAU